rnacentral:rRNA from 1 species
CCUACGGGAGGCUGCAGUGGGGAAUAUUGGGCAAUGGACGAAACUCUGACCCAGCAACGCCGCGUGAAUGAUGAAGGCCCUCGGAUUGUAAAGCUCCUUUCUAAGGGAAGAAGAAAGUGACGGUACCUUAGGAAUAAGCCUCGGCGAACUACGUGCCAGCAGUCGCGGUAAUACGUAGGAGGCGAGCGUUAUGCGGAAUUACUGGGCGUAAAGGGUGCGUAGGUGGUUAGGCAAGGUAGGAGGGUAACUCCAAGGCUCGACCUUGUAACUACUACUAAAACUGGUGGACUUGAGUGCAGGAGAGGCACGCGGAAUGCCUGGUGUAGCGGUGGAAUGCGUAGAUAUUAGGAAGAACGCCGGUGGCGAAGGCAGGUUACUGGACUGUAACUGACACUGAGGCACGAAAGCGUGGGGAGCGAACAGGAUUAGAUACCCCAGUAGUC